rnacentral:rRNA from 1 species
GAUGAACGCUAGCUACAGGCUUAACACAUGCAAGUCGAGGGGAAACGAUAUUGGAAGCUUGCUUCCGAUAGGCGUCGACCGGCGCACGGGAGAGUAACGCGUAUCCAACCUGCCCACCACUUGGGGAUAACCUUGCGAAAGUAAGACUAAUACCCAAUGACGUCCAUAGAAGACAUCUGAAAUGGAUUAAAGAUUUAUCGGUGCUGGAUGGGGAUGCGUCUGAUUAGCUUGUUGGCGGGGUAACGGCCCACCAAGGCGACGAUCAGUAGGGGUUCUGAGAGGAAGGUCCCCCACAUUGGAACUGAGACACGGUCCAAACUCCUACGGGAGGCAGCAGUGAGGAAUAUUGGUCAAUGGGCGAGAGCCUGAACCAGCCAAGUAGCGUGCAGGAUGACGGCCCUAUGGGUUGUAAACUGCUUUUAUAAGGGAAUAAAGUGAGCCUCGUGAGGCUUUUUGCAUGUACCUUAUGAAUAAGGACCGGCUAAUUCCGUGCCAGCAGCCGCCGUAA